CGGAACGGGUGAGUAACGCGUGAGGAACCUGCCUCAAAGAGGGGGACAACAGUUGGAAACGACUGCUAAUACCGCAUAAGCCCACGGGUCGGCAUCGAUCUGAGGGAAAAGGAGUGAUCCGCUUUGAGAUGGCCUCGCGUCUGAUUAGCUAGUUGGUGAGGUAACGGCCCACCAAGGCGACGAUCGGUAGCCGGACUGAGAGGUUGAACGGCCACAUUGGGACUGAGACACGGCCCAG
rnacentral:rRNA from 1 species